GCUCAGAUUGAACGCUGGCAGGCCCAACACAUGCAAGUCGAGCGGAUGAAGGAGCUUGCUCCUGGAUUCAGCGGCGGACGGGUGAGUAAUGCCAGGAAUCUGCCUGGUAGUGGGGAUAACGUCCGAAACNNAGCGCUAANNNCNNNAUACNGUCCUGAGGGAGAAAGUGGGGAUCUUCGGACCUACGCUAUCAGAUGAGCCUAGGUCGGAUUAGCUGGUUGGUGGGGUAAAGGCUUACCGAGGCGACGAUCCGUAACUGGUCUGAGAGGAUGAUCAGUCACACUGGAACUGGAAGACGGUCCGGACUCCUACAGGAGGCAGCAGUGGGGAAUANNGANAAUGGGCGAAAGCCUGAUCCAGCCAUGCCGCGUGUGGAAGAAGGUCUUGGAUUGUAAAAAGCACUUUGCUGGGAGGAAGGGCAGUAAGUUAANUNCCUUUCUUUGACGUUACCAACAGAAUAAGCACCGGCUAACUUCGUGCCAGCNGCCGCGGUAAUAAGGCGCAAGCGUUAAUCGGAAUACUGGGCGUAAAGCGCGUAGGUGGCAAGUUGGAUGUGAAAUCCCCGGCCCAACCUGGAACUGCAUCCAAACUACCAGAGCCNAGAGGGUGGAAAUUCCUGUGCGGGUGAAAUGCGUAGUAUGGAAGAACACCAGUGGCGAAGGCGACCUGGACUGAUACUGACACUGAGGUGCGAAAGCGUGGGAGCAAACAGGAUUAGAUACCCUGGUAGUCCACGCCGUAAACGAUGUCGACUAGCCGNUGGGAUCCUUGAGAUCAUAGUGGCGCAGCUAACGAUAAGUCGACCGCCUGGAGUACGGCCGCAGGNANUAAAACUCAAAUGAAUUGACGGGGGCCCGCACAAGCGGUGGAGCAUGGUUUAAUUCGAAGCAACGCGAAGAAUACCUGGCCUUGACAGCUGAGAACUUUCCAGAGAUGGCCUUCGAACUCAGACACAGGUGCUGCUGGCUGUCGUCAGCUCGUGUCGUGAGAUGUUGGGUUAAGUCCGUAACGAGCGCAACCCUUGUCCUUAGUUACCAGCACCUCGGUGGGCACUCUAUGAGGGGCCGGUGACAAACCGGAGGGAGGUGGGGAUGACGUCAAGUCAUCAUGGCCCUUACGGCCAGGGCUACACGUGCUGCAAUGGUCGGUACAAAGGGUUGCCAAGCCGCGAGGUGGAGCUAAUCCCAUAAAACCGAUCGUAGUCCGGAUCGCAGUCUGCAACUCGACUGCGUGAAGUCGGAAUCGCUAGUAAUCGUGAAUCAGAAUGUCACGGUGAAUACGUUCCAGGCCUGUACACACCGCCCGUCACACCAUGGGUGGGUUGCUCCAGAAGUAGCUAGUCUAACCGCAAGGGACGGUUACCACAGGUGAUUCAUGACUGGGGUGAAGUCGAAACAAGGUAGCCGUAAGGGAACCUGCGGCUG
rnacentral:rRNA from 1 species